rnacentral:sRNA from 1 species
GCCAGGCGCGGUGACCCAGGCCUGUAAUCCCAGCAACUUGGGAGGCUGAGGCAGGAGGAUCGUGAGUUCAAAGCCAGCCUCACCAAUCUAGCGAGGCCCUAAGCAACUCAGUGAGACUCUGUCUUUA